GGAAGAAGCGAAAGUGACGGUACCUGCAGAAGAAGCGCCGGCUAACUACGUGCCAGCAGCCGCGGUAAUACGUAGGGCGCAAGCGUUAUCCGGAAUUAUUGGGCGUAAAGAGCUCGUAGGCGGUUUGUCGCGUCUGCCGUGAAAGUCCGGGGCUCAACUCCGGAUCUGCGGUGGGUACGGGCAGACUAGAGUGAUGUAGGGGAGACUGGAAUUCCUGGUGUAGCGGUGAAAUGCGCAGAUAUCAGGAGGAACACCGAUGGCGAAGGCAGGUCUCUGGGCAUUAACUGACGCUGAGGAGCGAAAGCAUGGGGAGCGAACAGGAUUAGAUACCCUGGUAGUCCAUGCCGUAAACGUUGGGCACUAGGUGUGGGGGACAUUCCACGUUUUCCGCGCCGUAGCUAACGCAUUAAGUGCCCCGCCUGGGGAGUACGGCCGCAAGGCUAAAACUCAAAGGAAUUGACGGGGGCCCGCACAAGCGGCGGAGCAUGCGGAUUAAUUCGAUGCAACGCGAAGAACCUUACCAAGGCUUGACAUGGGCCGGACCGGGCUGGAAACAGUCCUUCCCCUUUGGGGCCGGUUCACAGGUGGUGCAUGGUUGUCGUCAGCUCGUGUCGUGAGAUGUUGGGUUAAGUCCCGCAACGAGCGCAACCCUCGUUCCAUGUUGCCAGCGCGUAAUGGCGGGGACUCAUGGGAGACUGCCGGGGUCAACUCGGAGGAAGGUGGGGACGACGUCAAAUCAUCAUGCCCCUUAUGUCUUGGGCUUCACGCAUGCUACAAUGGCCGGUACAAAGGGUUGCGAUACUGUGAGGUGGAGCUAAUCCCAAAAAGCCGGUCUCAGUUCGGAUUGGGGUCUGCAACUCGACCCCAUGAAGUCGGAGUCGCUAGUAAUCGCAGAUCAGCAACGCUGCGGUGAAUACGUUCCCGGGCCUUGUACACACCGCCCGUCAAGUCACGAAAGUUGGUAACACCCGAAGC
rnacentral:rRNA from 1 species